CGGGCGACGCGCCGGUCUAAGUCCCUUGGAACGGGGCGUCACAGAGGGUGAGAAUCCCGUAUGUGACCGGUGACCGAGCCCGGGUGAAACCCCUUCGACGAGUCGAGUUGUUUGGGAAUGCAGCUCAAAACGGGUGGUAAAUUUCAUCUAAAGCUAAAUACCGGCCAGAGACCGAUAGCGCACAAGUAGAGUGAUCGAAAGAUGAAAAGCACUUUGGAAAGAGAGUCAAAAAGUACGUGAAAUUGUUGAAAGGGAAGCGCUUGCGACCAGACCUGCCCGCGGGCGAUCAGCCGUCCUUCUGGGCGGUGCACUCGCCCGCGAUCAGGCCAGCAUCGGUUCGGGCGGCCGGAUAAAGGCCCUGGGAACGUAGCUCCCUUCGGGGAGUGUUAUAGCCCGGGGCGCAAUGCGGCCCGCCAGGACCGAGGACCGCGCUUCGGCUAGGAUGCUGGCGUAAUGGUCGUAAGCGGCCCGUCUUGAAACACGGACCAAGGAGUCGACCAACUGUGCGAGUGUUUGGGCGUCAAACCCACACGCGCAAUGAAAGUGAACGGAGGUGGGAACCCCUCGCGGGGCGCACCAUCGACCGAUCCAGAUGUCUUCGGAUGGAUUUGAGUACGAGCAUAGCUGGUCGGACCCGAAAGAUGGUGAACUAUGCCUGAAUAGGGUGAAGCCAGAGGAAACUCUGGUGGAGGCUCGCAGCGGUUCUGACGUGCAAAUCGAUCGUCAAAUUUGGGCAUAGGGGCGAAAGACUAAUCGAAC
rnacentral:rRNA from 1 species